rnacentral:rRNA from 1 species
GACAGAGGGUGCAAACGUGUUCGGAAUUACUGGGCGUAAAGCGCGUGUAGGCGGCGAUGCAAGUCGGAUGUGAAAGCCCUCGGCUCAACCGGGGAAGUGCACUCGAAACUGCAACGCUAGAGUCUCGGAGAGGAUCGUGGAAUUCUCGGUGUAGAGGUGAAAUUCGUAGAUAUCGAGAGGAACACCGGUGGCGGAAGGCGGC